rnacentral:rRNA from 1 species
CACGCCGUAAACGAUGGAUACUAGCUGUUCGGAGCAAUCUGAGUGGCUAAGCGAAAGUGAUAAGUAUCCCACCUGGGGAGUACGCACGCAAGUGUGAAACUCAAAGGAAUUGACGGGGACCCGCACAAGCGGUGGAUGAUGUGGUUUAAUUCGAUGCAACGCGAAAAACCUUACCCACCUUUGACAUGUACGGAAUCCUUUAGAGAUAGAGGAGUGCUCGAAAGAGAGCCGUAACACAGGUGC